rnacentral:sRNA from 1 species
GGAAAACACAUGAAGUAAAAAUUAAAAGCAUCACACCUAAGUAAACAGUUCAAUCAUUUUAUAAAAUCCUGGGACACUUCAUACUUGUCUCAGG